GUGUUUGGUUUGUUUGGGUUGGUCGGAUCCCUGCUCGCGCAGCGACGGCCCGUCCUUCUUACCUCUUCAGUCCUGGUUCCGGGUUCGUCGCGACCUCGGGCCGAAUCGGUUUUCUGUGUUGCGUGCCCACGUUGAAGGAAUUGUCCCUCGUUCACUCGUCGCGUAUUCCGUCUUGCGCUGCUCGGGCGGCGCGAGGCGGACCGUGUGGUGUCCGUCGUUGUCUCUUCUCGCCUCGCUUGCGAACAGCUAAGGGCGCGAAACGGCCAACGCCGGGCACUCGAAAUCUCGGAUACGGAACCUUAAGCGGACGAAAAGGGGCCUUCGGUCCCGGUUUGCCCAAACUGAGCGUUCUCGCUUCUUACGAACGACUGUCGGCGCCGUCUCGGGAUAUGCCCGUGCGGUGCCGGCGUCGAGGAGGAAUG
rnacentral:misc_RNA from 1 species